GUGCAGUCCUCAUGUGUGAUCAUUUAAUGUGUUGGAAUGGUCUCUGUGGUAACAUUCUGUUUGUCUAAAAAGUUUGCUGGGACUCGAUUUAUGUUUAUGCGACAAAGAUUUUCUAUAUUGUAAUGCACAGAAACACACAGUGCUAUCGCAGAAGGCUACUAUUUUAGUGGUAUAGCAUUGUCUUCUUUGUCUGGCAGCAUGUGA